AAUUUAGAGUUGCUUUUGUUUGUUUUACCCAGGAGACUCCUGUUGGUUUGGUUUUUGUUAAAGCAGAUUUGCUUUAUUGAAGGGAACAAAAACCCCUCGCAUUUCCUUCAUAACCUUAUUUAGAACAUUUGAGACACUCUUGCCAUGGGGAAGCAAGUUAAUAAUUGACAAUGACACCCAGCACGCCUGCAUGAAUGAUUCCACACCAUAACACUGACAGCUGGCACAACUUACUGAGCUCCUCUCAAACAUUUCCACAAAGAGGAAUGGAAUCACUCCAAGUUCAGCAACCUAGUAAUCACAGUGACUUCAGCUGCCCCAUCUGUCUCCAAACAGUGACUCUGCCAGUAGAAACCAACUGUGGACAUCUAUUCUGUGGCUCUUGUCUAAUUACAUACUGGAAACAUGGUCCUUGGUUAGGAGCAAUAAUCUGCCCUCUCUGCAGACAGAAGGUGGUGGUUCUGGUUAACAUCUCUUGUGAAAAGCUACACGAUAAGCCAAGUAAACAGACUGUUCACGACAUCAGAGCGUACAACAAGCGUUUCUCAGGGCAACCUCGACCUGUGAUACUAACUCAAGCACAAGAGUCCAUCUCUUACAACUCCUUUACAUGGCCAGCUGGACUUGAAGGCUCCCACAAAAUGAAUGAGCACAGGAAAAAAAAAAAAAAAGAAAGAAGCAAAAGCCAAUUUCCUCUUGUAUAACCAACAAUGCUUUUUCAGACAGUUUCCUCACUUAAAAGAAAAACACAAGAAACAUAAGGAAAAGGGGCGCACUGCUUAGAAAAGCCCCUCAAAGCUUUCUCACUAAUGGGAAGAGUCACAUUGCUUUCAAUUCCCUGCUUUACAACUCCUGUUGAAUUGCCCUGGUGCUACUGUUCACACCAGUGAAAGAAAAAAAGGGACACCUGAAAGGCUGUAAAUGUCUCAGAAAAAUCAACUUUUCUCUCAACUGCAAGAAAAAUGAAAGGGAGAGCCUUUGCUGCUCACCCCCUCUGUGCACAAUUCCCCUACUGGGGAACAUUAGGAGAAACCAGACAGUUCUGCUCCCCAGGAAGGUUCUACCUCUGCCAUAAAUACUCUCCACUAAUGUUGUGUUUUACUCUGGGCCUCUUACAGCUUUCAGCAUUGAAAAAUGCACUAAUCACUUCUUUGGGAGAUAAGCCAACCUUGUGAGACAAACAGACAGUAAGCCCAGUUUUAUUUUUACACUAUUCCUCAUCUGACUAAAGGUCUUCUCAGGUUGGUUCAAGAGAGAAGACAUCAGUGCUGACGCGAGCAGACACAGCCAAUGCGGGUGCUGCGGCUCAUCCUCUAACUCCCUGCUGACUGAGGCUCCAUACUAACACAAGGAAGAAUUCUUACCAUCAGAGUGAUGGAGCACUGGAACAAGAUGCCCAGAGAGGUGAUGGAAUCUCCUUCUCUGGAAAUAUUCAAGACCCAUGUGGACACAGGCUGACCUGUGCUACCUGCUAUAGGGAACCUGCUUUCGCAGGGGAGUUGGAUUUGAUCUCUAGAGAUCCCUUCCAACUCCUGUAAUUCUGUGAUUCUGUGGUCAGCUUCAUAUUUUGUACUUUUAAAUCUACUAAAUAUCUGCAAGUCUUGGGGAAUUGACAGCACUGGGCUCUCACAGCAACCACCACAGCAAUGCCAAAUGCUAUGUUAAAAAAAACACGCAGCCAGCAAUUUUCAACAACUUGUUCUAGGUUGCUCAAACUAUCAUACAUGAAUUCCUCUCUUAAUCUGGUCAAUUUGUUCUUUGUUGGUUUGAACAAAUACUUUGCUCUCAGAGGAGACUCUUUUCAACAAUUUUCUGGGGACAAAGAGGAACAGAACACUGAAAAUAUGAAUUUAUAAUGAAACUGGAAACAAAGGAUCAUUAGAAUCGCAUUACUCAAUCAGAUCAACCUUGUGCACUGCUCUGUCUCCAACAAAGCCUUAAAUAUAGCAAAGCGAUAAUGCUGCUGUUCAGAAAUAGUUUGAGGCUUGACAUCCAAAUCCAUAAUUCCAGUCACCAAGAAUUUCACAAUCUUGAUUUGAAUGACGCUCUAUCUUCUUUGUUUGGCAGUCUAGACAGCACAAUGAAUACAGCGAUUUAAACAUAAUGAAUUCUCUCUUAAAACAAAAUAUUUUGUAAAACUGCUUUUUAAUCAUUUCUUUUCUCCCUUUACAUAAAGGCUAUGCUAUAAAUAAACCCUGAAAGUUCGCAUUUGAUCAUCAUUUCUAAAGGCUGGGCAAGAGGCAAGUGAAGGGUUUACACAGAAAAAAAUAGAGGCACUGUGGAGCAGAAAUAAAAGGAUGCAUUCAUGAUUUCUAACCUUUUGUCACAGUGUCAAAGCUGAGACAGACAGAAGCCAGUAAACACUCUGCUUACCAUGGAGAGUUAACUGAACAGCAUUACCCUAGCAGGGCAGAAGGCAGAGGCCCAGCAAACCAAACUCUCCAGGGCCCACCAGUGUUUCAAAGCAAGGUGCCGUUCUGCAGCCCCUCUGGAAAGUCAGUUGUUCAGAGCCAUUCAUUCAGCGCUGGUGGCUGAACUCUGCUCUUCAGCACCACCUGGGGCAGAGCCUAAAAUUAAGCCUCCACAGGCAGCAGAUCUCCCAGUAAUAUCAUGGUCCAGCUGACGGCUCAUGCUGGAAAUUUCAAUCUUUGCCCUUUUAAUGAUGGAAAGGAAAAGGUUUUUAACACUGUGUUGCAGAUGUAUGGCAGCAACCUGCUGUGUCAUACCAGGAGACACCAGGAAAAAAUGUCAGCACAGCAGCAGGAGGAGCAGACAGGAGGUGCUUACAAGGCUAUCUAGACUGGGAGUCUGCUCUCCUCUGAUUCCCAAGUCAAUCAGCUCCUGCAAGGGCUGACUCCAGAGCAUCCAGUGUCAUCCUGUGCAUCCCACAAGAGCAACCCGUCUGCCUCGGGACUGCUGAGGGAGCCCAGGAAGAUCAACCUACCUGCAAAUAGUCUGUAAGUUCAAUUUUCAAUGGAGACUCAAGGACUUAUGUGGCUGAGUAUUACUGAAAAUUAAUGGGAUGUAGGCCCUUGAAAGCAUAUGACAAAUGAGAAAUCAGAUUUACAUACCACAGCCAUAGCUUUUAGGAUAAACCAAAGUCAUCAAGUAACUAAAUCUCGUUGAAAUGAAUGACCUGCGAACAUCAGAUCCCUUCAGAAUUUACACGUAUGCUCUAUUUAGGUACCUUAAAAUUGCAUCCAAAGUUAAAUGGAUGAGGCAUUCAGGCACAAAUGCAAUUUCUCAGCUGUGCUCUUUCCACUUACUCAUUUGAAAACCCCAAGAAAUGUUAGGAUUUUUAACUAGUGUCCUUUUUAACAGUAAAACCAAUUAUUAUCUGAAGUUUGACUGCACCAUUUCAGUGGCUGGAAGCAUUUGGCCUGUAAAUAUAAAAGCACACAUCAAAGCUCACCAGACUGUUUGGGCACACCAUGCUUCAGUUUUGAAAACAGCACGGUCAGAUACUUGGAGGAGGAAUCUUUAGGCAACAUGAAAACCAAGAGGUGCACUCAAGUGCAAAUUCAGCAUGCUUUCUCUCAGAAUGGUGCUGCUUUAUAGCUUGUCCAGUGACAGCCAUUGCAUCAAGAACGAAUCAUCUAAGAAAGACACGAAGGAUGACAACUAACUGCUGUAAAUCAGUUUGCAACCAGAAAUUGUAACAGAAGUAAUUGAGGAAUCUCAGAACAACUGGAAUGAAAUGCACGGCUUGCUUCUCUUCCCAAGCCAAAGUUAAUUUACCUCAGCACUCAGGCAAAAGACAGAAAUUAUACUCAGUUGUAUUGUGGCAAUAGAAGGCAAGUGAUCAAAAGCUGCCAUUGUUACAAUGGCAUUACAUUGCCAAGCAAUGAGACAGCUGUCCAGCAAACCAUGGUUCAUCAGGUACUCCUGAGAAAGACAGGAGUGUAUGUAUGGAAGAUCAGCCUCCAUUCCAAGCCAUGCAGAGCUCUGAAAUGUGAAUUUCCCCUUAGUUACUCAGACAACAUUAUCCAGCAAGGCUGCUGUUUUCUUACAGGCUUUUAUGUAGGGAUUGCUUACCCAAUAGCCUGGAGAUGGAAAGUUCAUCUUAUCUACGCUUACAGAAGUUGCAUGAAUUCAGUUAUGUAACAGAGCCCCAGUAGAACAUUCCUUUUUAGUGGUAUAUGACUGCAUGAAGAAAGUAUAUGAUGGAUCCAUACACAAUAUUUUUCUAGUGGCUUUCCCCCAACCCCUUAAAUACGUUUGAGUUAUAGGGGAAGAUCUUGGCAGCGUGCACAAAGCCCCAAAUCUGUAACUCAAUUCUCUGUGGCAUUCUGUAUGGAGUGAGCCAAGUUUUAAAACACGUUAUGGAUAAAUGGGAGAGCCGAGCAAAAAUUUCACACCUACGACCGAAGGGUGAAAAUUUGGCUUUCAUUCAUUUAGUGAAAAGGUGGAAAACUUCACACAAGCUUGUGUUUUUCUUUUGCUCUAUUCCAACAUGGAUUUUUGUGUUAGGAUCAAACCUCAGAGAGAGAAUACAGAGAAAGAGGGAGAAGAAGAGGAUGGAAGGGAGGAGGUCCAGCAAGCAGGACAGCAGAUCUGGGCCUCAGUUCUACUCUGUCUUCCAGGAAGAACUGCUGGCCCUUUGAAUCUCCCUACCCAUGUGAUAGAUAGCAGCAUUGGCCCAUCCUAAAGAAAUAUUUGAUCCAUUUAUUCGUUAAAGACUGUUACUGUGGUAGAGGAGAAUCAGGCAGAUAGGCAGAAGAUGCCCAAUGUUUUUAUACUCCUACACCCAUCCAAUUGCAGUUGACAGGGCCAACUGGACCGGCCUUGGAUGGGUCACUCAGAACUGAAGCAAAGUAGUUUUCUGGUUUGAGCACCAAAUCAGGAUACAGAAGGUUUGCAAAAGAUUCCCCAAGUUACUUUCAACAUGUAAUUCACUCUAAGUUUCAGUUACCUCUCUAAAAUGGGCUGUGCCCAUUGUUUUCCCACAGGCUUGAUUAGUUAUACUCACAGUUUGCACAUUAGGUUUAGCUCUAGUACUGUACCAUGGGUGGGACACAGAGGCUUUAGUUCUACUCUGCCCUCCGUGCCUGAUUGAAGCACAUAUCACUCGACCUCUCCUGUGACGCAGGAGAAUGGCUUUCACUCCUCAGUAUCAGAGAGAAGAACAAAUAGAAAAAAAAGAUCACGUAACAAGAGCCAAGAGCAGCUAAGGCCACCGCACCACCUCUACCUCCUGAGGUACUUUUAUCCUGCUUAAAUGACCGCUCUGAGUGUCAGACGGAUUGUGGCCACCACAGCUCUGUGUCACACAGAAUUUGUGCUUUAGCCAGGCUGGCCAGCCAACAAAGCUGUAAGAGGAGCAGCAGUGGCAAUGCAGCUGCUGUGAAGGGUGGCUUGUCGUGCUAGCGAUGAUAUUAAUUACUUAUUCUCCAGACCAAAUUUAGAAUGGGAUAAGGGUCAGCUAUGAUUGUCACAUCAUCUAUCAGCUGGAAACUAUGUUUGGGUCUAAGCUCCAGCCACACUGCUACUAAAUAUAGGCUGUUUUGUUGUUCAUCUGACUCUGCACUCCAAACUUGCCUUUGACUAUCAAAUAAUUAAGCAGUUUGCAUUGUGAGGGCUCCACUGCUGGCAACUCUUAGUGUCCAAAGCUGUUUGGAUGCAAACUUGUCAGCUUAGCACGGGUUUCAGCUUACCCAGGCAAUGGAAAGAGCCCAAAUGUUUAGCUCCUGUUUCAGUCUCACAGACUACUGGCACUGGGCGCCAUGAAUCAACAGUCUGCAGGCAACAUCUAAGCAGCCUUUACUGGACUGGGGCACAGCUCAGCCACACUUACCAGACAUUAGCCUGUACAAGAUCCUUCAUGAAAUGUAUGCCCACUUCUCAGUGCCUGCAGGUGAAGGUCCAAGACAGCAGACACCGCUGUGAUGCAAACACAGCAGCACAGAGCUGUGCCCUAUGCCCACCCAGCUGCUCCCCACAACCUGGAGCACACUUGGCCUCUUCACUGCUCCCAUGCUGUGGGUGACUUUGCCCUGACUGGCAGCUCAGCCACCAAAGCAGAGGGUCCCUGAGCACAUCACCAGCUAGCAUGGACAGUACGUUUCCCUCAGCCCCUUCUGAGGUGGAAUACAUUUAUUAACCACACACAGCAUAACUGUUGAAACAGACUUUGAAGGUUUGUCCAUAUAAACUACGCAAGAAAAUAAAUGCAUUUAACUCACUUGGGGGCUUGGAAAUGAACAGGGAGCUCCGUGUAGUAGAAAGCAAGCUCACCUGGAAGUCAAAAAAUCAGAUUCCUACAUCAGAGCCUAACAUAGGGAACUGCAAUAUAGCUGUAAGCUAAAUCAACCCUGUUCAUACUCACUGCUGCUGGUGAUGGAGCUCUAUUGGAGUAUGGGAGCACUGUUCUGCUGCACAACUUGGAAUGAGUUACUUUGCUUCUCUUGCUCCCUUCUUGUACUGUCUUAACACUUCCAUAUCCUCAGUUUUAGGUGGGAAAACCUUUGGGGCAGGCAGAGCAGGUGUGUGACUCCACACUAACUUGCAGAACAAAAGAAAUCAGCUGGACAGAAAGCAGGAGUCAUUUGCACAGGGGAAGGUAAAACAGAGAAGCUGAAGGAAAAGCAUCUGCACAGGAUAUCCUGAUGCUCAGCUGUGUACUUGACACAAUAUUUUGUUAAACUGCACCACUUCCUUUAAGGUGAUAGAUUCAGAUUUAUUUAGCUGAUUUCUUUUCACAUUCAUGCUCAGCGUAAGGCUUUCUGCGCAUUUAACUGGAGCUUUUAUUUGUCAUCUGGCAACAGGUUGGGAUUUACCGGAGGGGGGGGGGUAGGAAUGGGGGCUUUCGCUUUUCUUUUUUCUUUUUGCAUCUGUAUUUGCUUUAUGAGCAAUGGCUAAGGCAUCAUUUACACGUGGGGAACUAGAUCGGGUUCCCUCAAUUCCUUCCAUAUGUUCACUUACGCUGUCAAAACAUUUUUGCGAUCUAAUUAAUCUGCACACAUCUCUUUGUUCACCCCCCCCUCAGUAAGCUUCAGCACUUUGGGGUUACCUGGCUGAGAUUUGGUCAUAAAAACAAUUCCUGCCUACACUUUGCUUUAUGGUUACUCCAUCAAGAAAACAAACCUAUAUGCAACAUCUCACUCCUUUCCAUGUAAUUAUUCUUCAGCAUCUUUCCAAAGUUCUGAGGCAUUCCUUUUUCUCUCACCUUUCAGAUUUAUUUUGCACUAUGCUCCAGUAUCUCCUGAGAUUAAUGAGGGAAAAUCCCACUGAGAGUUUUGAUUUGAAAUUAUUUUUUAACUAAUUAAUCCAAUGUGUGGCUUACUAUUAAAAAAAUAUAUCUCAGAUAUAUGCUUACAUUUUACUCAGUCUGGACUGCAUUUGAGAAAUUACUCUGGGUCAGGGCUCAUAAAAUACAAGAGGCCUUAAAAAAAAUAAAGCCUAUCACAACUGUAAGCCAAUAGAAGCUCGAGUUGCUAAAAUAGAGUAAAACUGCAUAAAAAUAGGAAGAACCUUUCUGACAGCCUUACAGAUAUUCUAUCUGCAACCACAACAAAAAUAUUUCCCAAGAAACACCGGUGUUUUUCAAGUAUCCAAAGGGUGUAAUGCAGAGAAACUUGAGGAAACCAGCAAUUUUCUACAACUUCAGAACUGGACUGCACAGCCUUCUGCCCCAUGAAACACAGUACAGGGAAAGUAUCUGUCUAUCUGCAGGGAGCAGCUGGUUUCCCUCCUACAACUGCUCCAGUCAAGGAGUGCUGGUGCUGGCCUGUCUUUAAAGCAGCCCAGCAGAAGGAGAGCCUGGCACAGCACAGCUCUCCAUGGCCAGGGCCUGAAGGAGGCACCCUGGGCUCUGUGCCUGGCACAGGACACUUUGUGCAGCCCUGCCCUCAGCACAGCACUUCUCAUGCAGCUGCAGGCACUACAAAGACCAUUGGGGGAGGAUUUGCUGGGCCACCAAGGGCAAUUGGCCCCAAGAUACUUUCAGCAUCCCGUGGGACUCUGGCUCUGCGUCCUCCAUCACUACCUCUGUAGUGAUCCAGCUGUAUAACAGAAAGGUUCUCUAUUGUUUACAGAACUGCCUAUUGGGCAAACCAGAGCUGGGGAGGGAAAACAAUGAACAGACCAGAAACAGUACAAAGAGCUCUGCAGGUGUUGCCAGGGCAGGAGAAUGCAUCCCACACAUUCCAAAGAUUGUAGGUCUCAAACCAGCCUUUUGAAAAUGAGAAUAAAAUGCUUGGCAACUCCUCAUGGUCUGCUUCUCUUUUGAGAUGUGACCUUGUCUUGUUCUGAUCCCCUUGCUCCUAUAAACAUUGGCUUGUAUCUGCUGGAGACCAUUUGGAAACGAUAACUGUAUUUUUCUUUAUCAUUAAAGCACCAACUUACACAAAUGCAUUGGGAAGAAGCCAUUCUUGGGGGCGAGUGUGAAAAAUUACCCUCUACUACAAUACUGUAGCACUACUAAAGCCCUCUGUCAAGCCUGGCUUUUUUGUGUAUAAUAACAAAAGCAAGGGUUAUUAAUCCUCACCCAGAGCCUAAAGGAGCCGCUGGCUGCAGGGAUAUUGUACAACCCUUUUUAAUGUUCAAAUCUGAAUCUGCCACCCAGAACCCACCACUGCCAGCAGGAAUGUUUAAAGGUACCCAAGGCAUCUCUUUCCUUAGGAAACCUUCUAAGAAGGCAUUUGUCUUCAUCUGGCAAACAGAAAAAGAGCAAACUUUAUAACUGACUGUGCCCAAAACAAUAGCUGAUUCUGUCUGAAAACACACCAGCUAGAAUUAAAAGUGCAGUUAGCAUGUUAGGGAGUGAGUCAUUGAGUGGUAGCAGUUUGAUGGCUCACAGCCCGAGAUCUAACAGAGCACCAUCCUGCUCUGGGGGUUAUCCUUAAAGCUGAGAUCUUGCAGAGUAGAGCACAAUAGACAAGAGGAGUCUGCACACCCUUCCCCCUCUUCCCCCAAAAUUUUGGCUAGGUGGGAGGUUGGUGAGCUUGCUUAUAACCUGCCUUUAACCUUCAAGGAAAGGUGAACCCUGUAACUCCAGCGAGGCACGCUUCCCCUACAGCACCCAGUUGGACACCAUUCCACCAGAAAUUUCUAAUGUUCAGCCCCUAAAGCACUUAUGGGGAAAGCAAAAUUCUUGACUGUGAGGAGGGCAGCAGGAUGUGUCAGCUCCUGCAUCUUGACCUUGGAUAAGACAUGCAAGUCUUCUGCACCUCUGUUUCUCAUAUAUUCCAUUGGAAUCAAUUAACACCAUUAGAUAUCAAAGAUGUAGGAGGGAAAUCUAGCCAGUGUGAGAUACAACUGAAAAAAAAAACACUUUGUGAUUUACAAUUCAUCUGAUUAUCAGGAUUGAGCCAAUUCCUAUUGCUGAGGGUCCGGCCUUCUAUUUAAACACAGCAAGCUGGGAGAGUAGCACACACUCAGAUCAUGGAGCUUUCCACUUGUAGGUCACCAAGCAGAACCUCAGUAAGGAUGAUUAUGAGUUAUCAUGGUAUGCAAGCUUUUUAUAACAUCUUUUGCACAGUGGUUUAUUGGUUUCAAAUUAAUUUCUAUUGUACACACUUUGCAUAGCACGAAACACUCUACUGCUCAGAAACUGUUCACCCUUUGCAAAGCUGUACGAGAGACAGUGUUACCACUCUCUGAGCAAAUUCCCUUUUGAAACUGUUUGAAGAAGUGUACAAACUGUGAGCUGAGCCUGGAUGACCUCAGAGAGCCUUUUCCAGGCUGUGGUACAGGCCGAGCACGACAGGAAAAGCUGCACUGCAGCUGCACAUACUGUUCUUUGGGACAGGCAGAGCCCAGCUUUGCAGGCUCGUCCUUCACUCCCCAGAGUCCUGCAGGUCUCACUGGGCCUACUCACAGACAAAGAGAAGCGUGUGUGCAGGCAGCAGCACAGCCUAUUUUUUGCAGAGAAUACUUUCUGAAAGUAAAACAGAGGAGAAGCAGCAAAAAUGAACAACUCUGUCAUUAUCUACUGUGCUGAGAACUCAGCAGAGAUCAUUUCAAAGAUCCAUAUUGUUUACAGCAGCUGAUGAGUGCAGCAAGUGCUGAAGCUGUGCUCUCGCUUAAAGUGCUAACAUAUUUACAGUUUUCAGUCCUGUCCUUAGUGCUUAUCUGUCAUUUCAAAAUGAAUGCUCCUUUUGUAAAGGCUAAUUACUUGCAUGAACACUGCACUAGCUCAAAAUCUCUGAUUUGUCUCACUUUUCUAUUAGCAGCAAUCUUGUACUUUGCUUUAUACAGCACAUGUAAAAAAGAGCGUUUUUGUUCAAAGAUAUUUCUUUGCUGUGACAAAGCUAGAACAGGGGGAGGGAAAUUAAGUUACUUGCCUGAUGGAAGUCUUAACUUUACAACAUGAAAUGCACUUAGCCAUUGUUCUGCUCUGGCUUGGUUUCUGGUUUUAGAAUAAUUUGUCAAGAUCUGUACAAAAUCAGACUGGGCCACAAACAAAAUGCUUGUGAAGAAGCUGUUGGCUCAUGCUGAAGAAUGGAAAUGUAAAAAUUUUGGUAGGACCCCAUCCCCUCUUCUUCCAACAAAUGGUGGGACCUUGAGAGACUGAAAAGCUGUCAGUCAUCUCAUUUUUACAUGAAUAGAAGGAAUGCAGGCCACUCUACAACUCAGUAACUUAAUUAAAAUGAAAAAAAAUACAACCCAGACAUGCAAGAAAAAGGAUACAGUUAUAACAAGGAGGUAUUAUCCUGGUUUGCAUUACGUUCACUGGGUUACUGAUCUGUCAUAAACCAGCUUCAGAGACAAAUCCAAAGAGCCAUGCAGUGCAAGACGUGCCUGCUCUGUGUGCUAACCCCAAUCCCACUGCAGUGGGAAAAAAAAGGGUAACAUCUGAUCAGCACAAGGCUCCUGCACGUCUUCAGCUGCAGCAAGGAGGGCUCAGCACCUGAGCCAAAGGAGCACCUCAGCACUCCAUUACUGCUUAGAGGCAGCAUUUGAUGCCUGCAGCUACAGAAAACGCUGCUUUUGAAUUAAGCUUUGUUGUUUCUACCUGCGACUGAAUUUGUGCUUUGAAGGAUGUGGUUUCCCAUUGCUACCCAAAUAUUUUCUUUAAACCAGAGUUUUGCAUAGCAAGUGCAUUUCAUUGUAAACGUAUAAUGCAACCUUUGAAAAUCAUGAGUGAUGUAAGUAUGGGUAUUAAAGCCUGAUGUAAACUUCUGAGUGCUAUUCACACCAUACUACAUGAGCCACCUCUCAUAUUGUAUAUUAGCAAUGAAAACGACCACAGAAAAAGACUAUUUCCACUUCUAAUGUAAGCUUUUGUUUUCCAACAAAGUUGAAGGAUUUUCUGAUUAAAGUGAACUGGGUCAGCAGUCUACUGGCCUUCCCACUCUUAUCCUGCCUUCAGUCCAUCAGAGCAAUAUCAUUAACAACAUUAUACAUCUUCUUUGCACUUCUUAUCCUAUCGCCUUUAAUGGAACUAUAAAGCCUGCCGAUAAAAUACUUAGAGAUCCCUAGAUCUGAUUCAAAGAUCAGCCAGACAAAGAGCCAAUGAAACAGUUUGUUCAAAGUCACAGACAGAGUAGGUGGCAAAGCCAGAAAUAAAAGCCCAUGCACUCUGAUUCUCAUCACGUAAUUUUAAGUUUUCUCACUUGCAAAAUUUGGCUUUUAUUUAUACCAAAGUAAAUUCAGAAG